rnacentral:SRP_RNA from 1 species
GCUGGGCAUGGUAGUGUGUGCCUGUAGUCCCAGUACUUGGGAGGCUGAAGUGGGAGGAUCACUUGAGUCCAGGAGUUCUGGGCUGUGGUGUGCUAUGCCGAUCGGGUGUCUGCACUAAGUUUGGCAUCAAUAUGGUGACCUCCCGGGAGUGGGGGACCACCAGGUUGCCUAAGGAGGGGCGAACUGGCCAAAGUCAGAAACAGAGCAGGUUAAAACUCCUGUGCUGAUCAAUAGUGGGAUCGCGCCUGUGAAUAGCCACUGCACUCCAGCCUGGGCAACAUUAGAAAAAAA